CCUACGGGAGGCUGCAGUGGGGAAUAUUGGACAAUGGGGGCAACCCUGAUCCAGCCAUGCCGCGUGAAUGAUGAAGGCCUUAGGGUUGUAAAGUUCUUUUGCCAGGGAAGCGGUACCUGGAGAAUAAGCUCCGGCUAACUUCGUGCCAGCAGCCGCGGUAAUACGAAGGGAGCUAGCGUUGUUCGGAAUCACUGGGCGUAAAGCGUGCGUAGGCGGCUUCUCAAGUCAGGGGUGAAAUCCCAGAGCUUAACUCUGGAACUGCCUUUGAAACUGAGAGGCUAGAAUGUGAGAGGGGAUGGCGGAAUUCCUACUGUAGAGGUGAAAUUCGUAGAUAUUAGGAGGAACACCCGUGGCGAACGCGGCCAUCUGACACAAUUGACGCUGACGUACGAAAGCGUGGGUAGCAAACAGGAUUAGAUACCCUAGUAGUC
rnacentral:rRNA from 1 species